rnacentral:lncRNA from 1 species
UUGCUGACCUUCUGGAAACUGCAAGUGGAUUGGCUGUUUGCUAACAUGAGGGGUAGAGUGUCCCCCAACGCCUGCARUGGAUGUCGUCGGCCUUUCUACUGGCCAUUGCAUAGGCCAUACAGUUCGAUUGAUGAUGGUAACRUCAGCUCCGGUAUCCAGCAUGGCUUCGAUUUGCUUGGAUGUGCCAUGUUGUGAGAUGAUGACACUCAUGGUGGGACGCCGAUCCAUUUUGGUGGUAAAACAAACAGCAGGUCCGGUAGACCCAAAGCCACGGUCACCUCGAUAGGGUUGGAGCUGCGGCGGAUGGUCCAAUAAGGUGCCAAGAGCGACGAUUUGCGCGAUCUUGCUGCCUUUAGGAAUGAAAACAGGUGGGCAAACAGUAUAGACCAUGAUAUAAAUGCGACCUGUGUAAUCAGCAUCGAUUACCCCUGGCAACACAAUAAGUCCUUGAAUACCAGCUGAGGACCGCCCUAGCAGCAACCCUCCGAYGGAGCUGUUCUGAUGGAAGAGAGGCCCUAUCGCAUUGCUGGGGAUCUUCUGGACAGCGGAGUCAACGAGUGUGACGUCUGCUGUGGUCUCCACGUCGAUUCCCAGGCUCCCUCGGGUUGCAGGCUGGUGUUGCUGCAGAAAACCCCGGGUCCCCCCCCGUCCCCCAUCCAAAUUAGAUGAUAUGUAAUAGGGGUCAAUCACCCUUUUGUCCCAAUUAAAAUUUACUGGCCUAAUGGGGGACAAUAGCGAGUAAUACAGCUGGUGGACAUGGGGGCUGAGGUUGUUGUUUUGCACAGGACUCCGUCCCACUGAGGAUGCUCAGUAACCGUGAGUGGCCUUGGCAGGGCCGAUGUGCAAGACUCUCCUAUGCAGUUAAAAUUGGUAAUGAGCAAAGCAGCCCCCAUCAGGGUUCUUGUGUUGCUGGCCUUAAUCCGAGAGUGUAUUUUAGGCAUCAAUAUACUCUGAGGAAGAAAUAAUCGAUACUGAACGGGGUCCCUUCUUUUUUGGGCGGCCCUAUACAUUACAACAGCCGUUACUAUUUUGAAAGGACACCCACUUGGUACUAAUCAACGAGGAAGGGGUCCCAGUCCAUGUUCCCUCUUGGAAACUCUUUCCCAGAGAACUGUGACCUGAUGAACCUGCCGAGCAGAGCUGCGACAUUUCUGCUCUCCAUCCUAACCCCAUACACUGAUGGUAGCUGGGACGCCAACAACACUGCAGCAAGCCCAUUCAAACUGAAGUCCACAAGAUGAUGAGUCUACUCCAAGUACUACAAAAUGUCAAAUCCAAAGAAUCAGCAUGGUACAACUCAUGGCAGUGACUUUCAUCAUGGCUGUCAGAUUUAGGACUAUGGGAAAAUGCAUUAUACUCCUGGUCUUUUGAGCUGAUUAUUUUUGCAUGCAUGUAUGUUAUAUUUUACUAUAUAUUUACUAGAAUUUAGUUGCUUGUACAACUUAGCUGUUAGUUAAGCUAAUGCCUGAAAAGCAUGUCCAAACCUUGUCUGCACACUGGUGGCACCAACACCAUGUCUCUGUCAGUCAGGGGGUGGAGUGGAGUGAGAACACCUGCAGAAGAUCUGGCCAGGAGUCAGUGACUGGCAGAGUACGUGGUAGCAGCCCCAGCGUGUGAAACUCCACGCUGACCAAAUUCCCAUCAGGACCAGGCAGGCAUAUUCCCUUUUGUCAACAACGUCCAGCUGAUUCCUAGACAGCAGCUACUCAAGCUUAGCACAGCUGAGACAAGGAAAUAGUUCGAGUAGAUGUAAGGGGACCUUAGGAUACAACAAGCUGAGUCCUGCCUGGGGGUCUGACCUGGGCGUCAUCCAUCAUCAACCCUUCCGUGCAGUUCCUGGGGCUCCCUGUGCACUUUAGAGUGUAAGUCCUUCAUUAAAUCUACUCUGUUUAACCCCCCAUGAACCUGGAGUGUCUCUCUACACCGGUAUCCAAUCCUCCCUUUCCCACCUUGCGGUCACACAUAGCCAGUUGCUCCACUCAACUGAUAUAGCUGUGUCAUGCUAUGAAGGUUUGAUAGUAACAACUGAGACAGUAACGUAAUAAAAAAAUUAUGUUUACUUCCUCA